rnacentral:rRNA from 1 species
UGUAUAAUGGGUCAGCGACUUAUAUUCUGUAGCAAGGUUAACCGUAUAGGGGAGCCGAAGGGAAACCGAGUCUUAACUGGGCGUUAAGUUGCAGGGUAUAGACCCGAAACCCGGUGAUCUAGCCAUGGGCAGGUUGAAGGUUGGGUAACACUAACUGGAGGACCGAACCGACUAAUGUUGAAAAAUUAGCGGAUGACUUGUGGCUGGGGGUGAAAGGCCAAUCAAACCGGGAGAUAGCUGGUUCUCCCCGAAAGCUAUUUAGGUAGCGCCUCGUGAACUCAUCUUCGGGGGUAGAGCACUGUUUCGGCUAGGGGGCCAUCCCGGCUUACCAACCCGAUGCAAACUACGAAUACCGAAGAAUGUUAUCACGGGAGACACACGGCGGGUGCUAACGUCCGUCGUGAAGAGGGAAACAACCCAGACCGCCAGCUAAGGUCCCAAAGUCAUGGUUAAGUGGGAAACGAUGUGGGAAGGCACAGACAGCCAGGAUGUUGGCUUAGAAGCAGCCAUCAUUUAAAGAAAGCGUAAUAGCUCACUGGUCGAGUCGGCCUGCGCGGAAGAUGUAACGGGGCUAAACCAUGCACCGAAGCUGCGGCAGCGACGCUUAGGCGUUGUUGGGUAGGGGAGCGUUCUGUAAGCCGUUGAAGGUGUGCUGUGAGGCAUGCUGGAGGUAUCAGAAGUGCGAAUGCUGACAUAAGUAACGAUAAAGCGGGUGAAAAGCCCGCUCGCCGGAAGACCAAGGGUUCCUGUCCAACGUUAAUCGGGGCAGGGUGAGUCGACCCCUAAGGCGAGGCCGAAAGGCGUAGUCGAUGGGAAACAGGUUAAUAUUCCUGUACUUGGUGUUACUGCGAAGGGGGGACGGAGAAGGCUAUGUUAGCCGGGCGACGGUUGUCCCGGUUUAAGCAUGUAGGCGGAGGUUCCAGGUAAAUCCGGUACCUUAUUAACGCUGAGGUGUGAUGACGAGGCACUACGGUGCUGAAGUAACAAAUGCCCUGCUUCCAGGAAAAGCCUCUAAGCAUCAGGUAACACGAAAUCGUACCCCAAACCGACACAGGUGGUCAGGUAGAGAAUACCAAGGCGCUUGAGAGAACUCGGGUGAAGGAACUAGGCAAAAUGGUGCCGUAACUUCGGGAGAAGGCACGCUGAUAUGUAGGUGAAGCCCCUGCGGGUGGAGCUGAAAUCAGUCGAAGAUACCAGCUGGCUGCAACUGUUUAUUAAAAACACAGCACUGUGCAAACACGAAAGUGGACGUAUACGGUGUGACGCCUGCCCGGUGCCGGAAGGUUAAUUGAUGGGGUUAGCGGCAACGCGAAGCUCUUGAUCGAAGCCCCGGUAAACGGCGGCCGUAACUAUAACGGUCCUAAGGUAGCGAAAUUCCUUGUCGGGUAAGUUCCGACCUGCACGAAUGGCGUAAUGAUGGCCAGGCUGUCUCCACCCGAGACUCAGUGAAAUUGAACUCGCUGUGAAGAUGCAGUGUACCCGCGGCAAGACGGAAAGACCCCGUGAACCUUUACUAUAGCUUGACACUGAACACUGGUCCUUGAUGUGUAGGAUAGGUGGGAGGCUUUGAAGCGUG